rnacentral:rRNA from 1 species
AUUGAACGCUGGCGGCAGGCCUAACACAUGCAAGUCGAGCGGAUGAAGGGAGCUUGCUCCUGGAUUCAGCGGCGGACGGGUGAGUAAUGCCUAGGAAUCUGCCUGGUAGUGGGGGAUAGCGUCCGGAAACGGGCGCUAAUACCGCAUACGUCCUGAGGGAGAAAGUGGGGGAUCUUCGGACCUCACGCUAUCAGAUGAGCCUAGGUCGGAUUAGCUAGUUGGUGGGGUAAAGGCCUACCAAGGCGGCGAUCCGUAACUGGUCUGAGAGGAUGAUCAGUCACACUGGAACUGAGACACGGUCCAGACUCCUACGGGAGGCAGCAGUGGGGAAUAUUGGACAAUGGGCGAAAGCCUGAUCCAGCCAUGCCGCGUGUGUGAAGAAGGUCUUCGGAUUGUAAAGCACUUUAAGUUGGGAGGAAGGGCAGUAAGUUAAUACCUUGCUGUUUUGACGUUACCAACAGAAUAAGCACCGGCUAACUUCGUG